CGGCGGUUUGUGCGUCUGUGGUUGUCGCGUUGUUGGUCGCUUCACUGAUGUUCGUCUACAAACGGAAGGCGAGACGCGACAGCGUUCAGUACGUGAACACCGUCAGAGACACCACAACCCCGGAGAGCGUCACCGACGGCGACGCAGGUUUCAGACGGGAAUCUGCGAUCUACCAGGAGCUGGAUGAGCUCGACACGGAGCAGAACCUGUACUGGUCCCUGGAGGUUGUACCGAACCGUCACCAAUAACCGGCUGAUCGAUAACCAAUAAAUGACGAGCACGUUUAAAGGAAAGACUGGGUCAGAACUCUGGAGCUGGACGUGAUUUUUAAAUUCAUCUAAAUGCUCAGAAAUGUUCUGGAACCUGCUGCAGGCGUUUGUCUGAGUCCAAAAUAUCUGGUAAUGAUAAAAAACAAUGAAAUGAAGACGACAUGAGAGAGCAGAGCACAGAACGCUUCAGCUACAGGAGGAUUCAGAGAAAUCUGACAUGAAUGCACAAAACAUCCUUAAAUGUGCUUCAGUUGUUCACAAUGAAACCAAACGUGGAGGAAAAAAAGUUUGAACAGAAGAACUGUGGUUCAGAAAUGACUCUUUGAUUUCAUUAUUUUCAGAAAUAAAGAUUUUAGGAUGCAUUGAACUAAAAUAACUUUUAGGAAUCCCUCUCACGCCUUCGUCUGAGUUUUCUGUCCAUUAAACUGUGACACAAGUCUGAGAGUCGAACCCAAAUAUAAUGAUGUUGCCAAAAAUCAGCGUCUGUCACAUUUGCAGGAUUUAUAGAAAAGAAAAUCAGAGUUUAUACGAUGCAGGACCAUCUUAGUUCAGCAGGACUUAAAGCUCCACAGAAGGAAACGUCCAACCAGGUUUAGCUCCAACCACCUCCAAAAAGUAAAAGAGAAUUCAAAACAAACCUGGAAAUAAAUGGUGCCGCGAGGACGCCAGAACAGAAAAACUAAAAC